CCUACGGGUGGCAGCAGUAGGGAAUUUUCGUCAAUGGGCGCAAGCCUGAACGAGCGAUGCCGCGUGAGUGAAGAAGGCCUUCGGGUCGGAAAGCUCUGUUGCGGGGGAAAAAAGGCAGCAUCAGGAAAUGGGUGCUGACUGAUGGUGCCCCGCCAGAAAGUCACGGCUAACUCCGUGCCAGCAGCCGCGGUAAUACGUAGGUGGCGAGCGUUAUCCGGAUUGAUUGGGCGUAAAGGGUGCGCAGGCGGUCCUGCAAGUCUGGAGUGAAACGCAUGAGCUAAACUGAUGCAUGGCUUUGGAUACUGGAGGACUGGAGAGCAGGAGAGGUAGGUGGAACUCGAGGUGUAGCGGUAAAAUGCGUAGAUAUAUGGAAGAACACCAGUGGCGAAGGCAGCCGGCUGGACUGUAGCUGACGCUGAUGCACGAAAGCGUGGGGAGCAAAUAGGAUUAGAUACCCUUGUAGUC
rnacentral:rRNA from 1 species